GACGAACGCUGGCGGCGUGCUUAACACAUGCAAGUCGUACGGUAAGGCCCUUUCGGGGGUACACGAGUGGCGAACGGGUGAGUAACACGUGAGUAACCUGCCCACAACUUUGGGAUAACGCUAGGAAACUGGUGCUAAUACUGGAUAUGUGCUCCUGCUGCAUGGUGGGGGUUGGAAAGCUCCGGCGGUUGUGGAUGGACUCGCGGCCUAUCAGCUUGUUGGUGGGGUAGUGGCCUACCAAGGCGGCGACGGGUAGCCGGCCUGAGAGGGUGACCGGCCACAUUGGGACUGAGAUACGGCCCAGACUCCUACGGGAGGCAGCAGUGGGGAAUAUUGCACAAUGGGCGCAAGCCUGAUGCAGCAACGCCGCGUGCGGGAUGACGGCCUUCGGGUUGUAAACCGCUUUCAGCAGGGACGAAGCUUUUUGUGACGGUACCUGCAGAAGAGGCACCGGCUAACUACG
rnacentral:rRNA from 1 species